UCCUCCUUCGCUGCCGAGGUUCCUUUCGACUAACUUACACCAGAAAAGGAUAGAGAACACAAUGGUAAAAAAAUCACACGAAAUAGAAAACGGGAAUGGGGUGGCAUCAGAGAGGGUUUUGGAUUUUGGUCGUGGUAGCUCGGUCGAGUUUUGCUCGUAGUUUUUAGCUCACCUAUUGGCCAUUUGGCUCUGAUAUUGGCAUAAAGAGAUUUGGGAUUGAAGUCCAAGCGGGAAGGGAAAAAAAUACAUGUUUUGGAGUC
rnacentral:lncRNA from 1 species